AUCCAACUGAUGAGUUCCAAAUAAAAUGAAAUGUGCGUUCUGGAU
rnacentral:hammerhead_ribozyme from 1 species